GGGGUGGUGGCGUAGUUGGCUAGUGUGUAGGUCUCAUAGAUAUAACAUGAGUGAUCCUGACGUCAAGAGUUCGAGCCUCUCUCACCCCA
rfam:Triticum aestivum genome assembly, contig: Triticum_aestivum_CS42_TGACv1_scaffold_513253_6BS